UACGUAGGGGGCUAGCGUUGUCCGGAAUCAUUGGGCGUAAAGCGCGUGUAGGCGGUCCGGUAAGUCCGCUGUGAAAGUCGGGGGCUCAACCCUCGGAUGCCGGUGGAUACUGUCGGGCUUGAGUACGGAAGAGGCGAGUGGAAUUCCCGGUGUAGCGGUGAAAUGCGCAGAUAUCGGGAGGAACACCAAUGGCGAAGGCAGCUCGCUGGGACGUGACUGACGCUGAGACGCGAAAGCGUGGGUAGCAAACAGG
rnacentral:rRNA from 1 species